rnacentral:lncRNA from 1 species
AUCUUAUUAAACCUGCAGAUUGUAAACACGAUUGCUUUCAAGGACAGACAAGACUUCCAAGUGACAGUUUGUCUGAUGGAUCUUCCACUGGUAGUAGCUGAGUAGAUUGAAGAAAAUGUGCAACGGUUUUCAUUAUUUGAAUAUGACAGAUACCAAAUAAUUAUUAAAAAACCGUUUUAUAUAUAGAUAUUUACAUUGAUCAAACGCAAACACGUCAAAUCAAACUGUUCAAUAUUUUGAUUCAAAAUUUCAUACAAAUUAAUACAACUGGUUUACAUAAACAUUAUACAAUACAUUCUACUGAUGACCCUGAACAUUGUAUUGUUUUCGUAUUCUUAUAAUCACAUUGUUUUAAUUAGCGUGUUACAAGAAUUCAAUUUAAAUUUUUGUUUUUAAAUUUCAUACGGUGUCGGGAUUGCAUCCCUUAGAAAAUGUAGAAGAUACUUAGUCAGCCGUAAGCAGAUAAGUUAAGGAAGUACUUUUUGAGCUCAUUCAGUUAACGCGCUACCUAGAAAUACAGAGCUCCAGGGUAAGAGUCCCGGUAGAAACAAGCAGUUUUGUAAUGGAAUUCAUUCUCUACAGUUAUAAUGGGGCCCAUAUUGGGGUGAGGAAUUCUAGCAAGAGUAUGUUUGUGUGAGAGUCAUAAUGGUAUUGUAAUAUUUUAAUGUUUUGUAAAUAUUGACCUCAGCUUAUUCUCGAGAUUCGCCAAGAGAAGACAUUCCAGAACAUUUAUCCAGUUUCAACACAAACAGUAUUAGUGACUUGGUAUUACCAAUGUUAUUUCAACUGAUCGGCGGAGUUUA